CUUCUGAAGGCUCGAAACCCCAAACGUUCUAGGGAAAAAAUCUGUCCUGUAUGCCGCCCAAAAGAAAAUGACAGUCAUCAUAGCCAAGUAGCCACCAAGAAUGAUUCCAGUUGUAAAUAUUUCUGCCAACUUCCAACUGUCUGGCUGAGGAGAUGGUUUCACCCUAUCCUUUGAUAUUGUCAUAAUCGUGCCAUCAUUGAGGAUAGCAAUGAUGAGCACCAUGAAGGGUGGGAAGUCAAACUGCCAGAUAAGUGCCAGCAACAUGAAGCCAAGCACAAUACGGAUUGUAAUCGAGACUGCAUAUAUUGUGUAAUUUUUCAUCCUCUGGAAUAUUGCACGACUAGUUAGGACAGCACUUAUGAUAACACUGAGACCAGGUUCUGUUAGGACAAUGUCAGAAGCACUACGAGCUGCAUCAGUUGCAUCAGCAACAGCUAUUCCAAUGUCAGCCUUCUUAAGGGCUGGAGCAUCAUUUACUCCAUCACCAGUCAU
rnacentral:misc_RNA from 1 species